GCGCUGUGGAACCGCCUCCUGCUAGAGCAGCGGGCUGGCGACGGUCCUCGCCGGGGCGGGAAGCGGCUCAGGCUGCCCUCGCUGGCCUGCGGCGGCGCGGCUGGAAGCGCGGGCCACUCGUGCGUGGGUCACUCAGGACUGCGCCUCGCGCGACUGUGUGUGCAGGAAACAAGCAGGAAAUACCCUAAAAGAGAAUGAAGCGCCAUGUUGAGGGUCGCGGACGUCGCGAGUGCUGUGGGAAUGUGGGCUGAGGUGGAGAGUUAUGGUAGCCCGUGUUACAGGCUCAGGGGUCUGAAAGAAGCCUAAUCGUGGAGGCGGCAUCUGAGGAGGGUCUUGAAGGCUGGGCAGGCAUUUGCCCGACAGAGAUGGAGGAAGCUAGUCCUGUCUGAUGGAGGAAACAGGGCGGAGGCGUGGAGGGAGCCGUGCAGCGCUGGUGUGAGGAGCAGCGAGCAGGCCAGGCCUGUAAAGCAGAGUGAGGGAACCAGGAUAGAGAAGGCAAGUCGGGGUCCUGUGGUCGCUGAAGAAUUUGAAUGAAAUCAGUAAACAGGUGAGAGGGAUCCAUCGCAAGAGCAUGGGAUGAAAGGAGGAGUAGUCCACGGUGAUUCCUCUGCAGCGGUGGGUGUUAUUAAUCGCGUAUGUGACACCAAAACCACCCCACUCAAGCUGUGGCUCUUUCCCUAAAGUAGAAAACCGAGACCAGUUGGGUUCCAAGCAUCCACGAAGAUCUUAUUAAAUUCGUGAUCCCUGGUGGCACCAUGGAGUCAGGAUUGGCUCAUCUCAAACCUGACUCAGAAACAAAACCGUCACAAUGUGCAGAGAUGAGCGUCCUUACCGCUAUCAACGUAUUUUCUGGUGUUUUCACAGUGCUGCGCUUCCUAAUCCCCAUUCCAUGGCAAUCCACAUGCCAUGAUGCCCGGAGUCAUUAACAAAGGAGACACACAGGGGCUCCUCACGUUGGCUUUCCAGGGUUUUGAUGAAAAUCUGUUUCCUCGUCUCAUACAAUGUGGUUAGUAAUAGUAUCAUUUAGGGUUGAAGAAUUAAAUGGUACGAGUUAUAUAGGGUGCUUAUUAUAACCUACAUGGAAAAUGCCUAGGAUAUGUUAGCUAUGCUCAUCACCAACAUCGUUAUAUGAUGGUAAUAAUCAGAUAGUCAGGAAGCCUGACACCAAGAAAAUGGAUACAUGCUCUGAAGGAAUGAAUGUGGAGAGAUCAGAAGGUCAAGAACAAAGUCGUACAAUAUGUCUACAGUAAAGGGAUAGAGAAAAGAAAGGCUAUAAAAGAAGGAAUGAAACAGAGUUAAAUUAUAGAAAUCAAAGCUAAGGAGAAUUUCCAGAAAGGGUAGUAUCAUUUAAUAUCAUAGAAGUUUAGGAGCCCAAGAUGGAAAAAAGGCCUCUGGGUAACUGACAUUGAGGCAGUCUUUGGGGAAGCUCCAUUUCCGAUAGAGAAGUAGACUGAAAGUCAGCUUGAAGCAGGGACUAGGUGAAGAAGCUGUUGGCUGGUCGCAUGGGGAAAUAAAUAAGGGAUGGCAUAUGCCGUAUUUCUGGAUUUCUUUCUUUCUUGCCCAGCCUCUAUAUAUGCACAGAGUUUGGCGAAAACUUACAAAAAAUAAAAAUGAAACCAAUUUCGUUUGUAGACCCAAAUACAAUGCUUUCUGUUAGAAUCAAGAUAAAUUCAUGCCUCUCCCUUCUAUUCAAACCGUCAGUUUUGAAAUUAAACAUCAGCUUUUCUUCUUCAUUAAAAUCAUUUUCAGCUCUUCCCAUUGAUGGUUUGGGGGAGUUGCAUAAGCAGUCAGGUCUUGAUGAGUAGAGGAGGAGGGAACAAACACUUUCAGCAAAGGCAGAAUUCUGAAAUUCUGCUCAUAUUUUUUUCCAGUAACUUUCCUAUGUUUGUGAGGUUAUUCAGUCAUAAAGAUCCUAGUGAAAUGUUUUUCAAGCUUUACUAAUCAUAAUCACUGUGGACAUUUGUUUAAAAUGUGUAUUCCCAGGCCUCUCACCUGGUGAUUCUGAUUCAGGAGAUCAUGG
rnacentral:lncRNA from 1 species